CCCAGGUUCACUUUGGGGUGGAGAUUUAACAUUUAAAUGUAUUAAAAUUAGGCCCCAUACCUCAAAAGGUCUUUUCAGGACAUGAAGGCGGAUGAAUGUACUUUCUGCAAACCAGCCAGAACCAGUCCAUGGCCGGUGGUCUCUUAUCAGGAGAAAGUUACUGGAGUCAGUCUCCCAUCCAAUCAAAGCUGUAGUUACGGCUGGUGCAACAGGGGUCAGUUACUCAGCGUCCGUGAGCUGGAAUGAAGAACAUAGCAGACAGAUGAAGUAGGCCUGGUGGUGCUCUGAGCAGAACAAAUCCUAAGGCCAGGUUAGACUAGCUUUGCACUGUUUCCCUCGUGUCUAGAUUUCUGAAGGAUGAGUCUUUUGAUUUGUUUCUAACCUGCUUAAAAGAGAUGGGGAGGCGGAGGAAGCAAGGAGCCGAGGUGCAGCCGGAUGCCUCCCAGGAUGAAUAAUGGCAACAAGAAACAGAGUUCUUAAAGCCCAGAUGAUAAGGGCCUCAGUCUGGGUGUGAAUGAACUUGGCCUGACUUCUUUGCUGCCGUCAUAUGAACCGGAAGGAGACAGCUUAGAUAGAGCAAGCCUGCUCCUUCCAGAAGCACGAGGGUCCUGUGGCGGUUUUUGCUUCAAACACCGCAGAACACAGAGCAAACCCCAUGACGCCGUCCUUCAACUAAACAGCCCAAAGCAGCAAACUAGAGGUUUCCAUUUUUAGUUUGCAAGGGGAACAACUGAGCUUUCAUGAGUUGGAAUUUGCUAACGUAAAUUGAGCCUUUGUAAGAGGGCUGAAAUUGACCCUGGAGACGGAAAGCACAGGAAAUAUUUGCUGUGGUCGGUGGGAGAGGACGCUCCGCAGACAAAGCCGCCUGCUUCUCCCGUCAGGCCUGCCUCCUCUCUAGGCAAAUAUUGGAGGGAUGACUUUUUUAUUUGCAGAGAGGAUUUGGCUAAUUUUGUUUUAUUUGUGUACCUUACAUUCAUGGAGCACUCUGCACAGUCUGUUGGAUAAUCUCUAAUUAUUCCUUUCCUCUUCACACCUGUGAGGCCGAUGCUCAGCAUAUUUCAGAGGAAGCUGGCACCAGGGAUGAGGGAAUCUGCCCAAGCAUGAGUCACCUGGAAUAUUAAACCAGAACCAACACACAAAUGAUCUGUGCAAAGAGGCAGCACCAUUGAAGUGUGUUUGACAGACAGAACUACUGUUUUGAAUCAACCCUCUGAGAUGUCUAAAUCAGCCUGUCAGACUUUGCUCCCUCUAUCACGUUUCCCAAGAAGAGGAUCAGAGAUAAAGAGAAAUAUGGAAAUUUGGAGUAAAAGAAUACUUUCACCACCUUGGACAUUGUCUCCUGCCUUUCUGGACAUCCACACAGCCCUGUGAUAUGCCUUGGAGCUGAGUUUUACCUCUUUGUGUGAUAUUUCUUUCCUGGGAAAGGCUCACACCACCUUGGAGCUUUGCAAUUUCGGCUUGUAGGUCCUCACUUAUAAAUCCAUUCACUCCCAGAGUCUACAUUGAAAUGAUUUCUUUUGCUGUGUCUCCACUGCUGGCUGUAGCCCCUUGAAGGAGGGAGCUGGCUUUACCAUGCCUGGCCUUGCAUAAAGUGCAACCUGAUGCUUAAUACAUACUGACUAGGUAAGCACAACCACUUCCAGAGCUAAUUCCAGCCUUUUCUCCUGCUCCCUGAUAACUCUACCUUCAUACCAGGACAGCAUUCUCAGAAAUCAUUUUAACCACGAAGACUUUUGUUCAAAUGAAACAGAAUAAGUAUAAACUAGAAAAAGUGCAAAUAUAUAGACAACUGUUAUUUUUUCUAAGUAAUCACCCAAACCCUCACCUCAUCUAUUAACCAAAAACUCCAGUGUGUUUCAUAUGAAGCCUCCCUUCCGAAAGAAAAUAAUCACAAACAACAACAACAACAACAACAACAACAACAUAUCUUCUAGGACCCCAGGGGUGACUGCCCAGAGUCUCAGCCUGGCUACCUGCUGGGCCCCUGCAUGGCUGCUGCAGCUGGACUUUGGAGAGCACAGUGGACCUUCCCCACUGCUGCCAGGAGCCUUCCCAGGGAUGAAUUCCUCCUCUGACGAACAAGGAUUUUGAGACAAGAGAGAUCCCCUUGGCCAAGGAUGCCCCAACCAGGGCUCACAAGGCCGCUGUUCUGAGUGUUCCACUUGGUUCCCAACCCCAGCUGGCCCCAACAGGUACCAUGGAGCCUCCCAACCACCAUCCUUCCCUCCCUGGGCUCCACCCCAACCUCAGGCAGCUUUUCCUUUUACACCUACAAAACACAAAGAGCCUAGCUGCCCUCAUCCCCUUCCUUAGACCACGGCACUCCCCUCCCACCCUCCCAAGGGUAGCCCCUCUUUGUCUCUCUUCUGGGUGAGAUUGCCUUCCUGAAUCCGUGGUGACCGAGGAAAGGAAACAUCUCACAAGCUGUUCACAAGGCCACCUCAGUGCCCCAGAAAGCCUGACAAGCACAGAUAAAUUAAAGCCAUCCUUCUGGGGGUAACAGAGGGGACUCCUGUCCUGCCCUGGUCCCAGGGCUUCCCAGAGCAGUCUGUGAAUCACUGCCUAUGUGGCGCUUAUGCUUCCUGAGCCAUUGACUCCUCCAUCCCAAGGGUCUUUGGAGACUCCAUCUCAUCCUCAGGUACCAGUCUUUGGAGUUCUUUCUUGCCACAGGCAAGAGAAUUUGGGGUCAUUUGAUUUGCUCAGAUGGUGCCAUGGUAAAGAGGACAACUCCAGGCAGCUUCAUGUCUCCUCUGCUGACGGGCAGAUUGUGUCCUGGCAGGAGAUCAUCUGCUGUGUUUGCUACCCAGGAGGCUCCCACACUUCACCAUCAGAACAGCGCCCCUGGCUUAGGAUUCUUGGCACCCUAGGGGUCAGCCCUUUUGUGUCUGUUUUUGCUCCUCUACGGUAAUCUUUUCAUGCAGCCUCGAGUUAACAGCACUUGUUUCCUUACCUGUCUCCAUCCCAAGGCGGUGGACCUCUUUGAGGACUGGAGCAUUUUCC
rnacentral:lncRNA from 1 species